rnacentral:rRNA from 1 species
AUGAACGCUGGCGGCGUGCCUAAUCCAUGCAAGUCGAGCGAACAGACGAGGAGCUUGCUCCUUCGACGUUAGCGGCGGACGGGUGAGUAACACGUAGGUAACCUACCUAUAAGACUGGGAUAACUUCGGGAAACCGGAGCUAAUACCGGAUAAUAUUUCGAACCGCAUGGUUCGAUAGUGAAAGAUGGCUUUGCUAUCACUUAUAGAUGGACCUGCGCCGUAUUAGCUAGUUGGUAAGGUAACGGCUUACCAAGGCAACGAUACGUAGCCGACCUGAGAGGGUGAUCGGCCACACUGGAACUGAGACACGGUCCAGACUCCUACGGGAGGCAGCAGUAGGGAAUCUUCCGCAAUGGGCGAAAGCCUGACGGAGCAACGCCGCGUGAGUGAUGAAGGUCUUCGGAUCGUAAAACUCUGUUAUUAGGGAAGAACAAUCGUGUAAGUAACUGUGCACGUCUUGACGGUACCUAAUCAGAAAGCCACGGCUAACUACGUG